UACGUAGGUGGCGAGCGUUGUCCGGAUUUACUGGGCGUAAAGAGCGCGCAGGCGGUCGUUCAAGUCGGAUGUGAAAGCCCCCGGCUCAACUGGGGAGGGUCAUUCGAUACUGAUCGACUCGAAGGCAGGAGAGGGAAGCGGAAUUCCCGGUGUAGUGGUGAAAUGCGUAGAUAUCAGGAGGAACACCUGCGGUGUAGACGGCUUACUGGACCAUAACUGACGCUGAGGCACGAAAGCGUGGGUAGCAAACAGG
rnacentral:rRNA from 1 species